rnacentral:rRNA from 1 species
UUCCGGUUGAUCCUGCCGGAGGUCACUGCUAUCAGUGUUCGACUAAGCCAUGCAAGUCAAAUGUUCUUCGUGAACAUGGCGGACUGCUCAGUAACACGUGGAUAACCUGCCCUUAGGAUUGGCAUAACACCGGGAAACUGGUGAUAAUACCGAAUAGACCAUUUAUGCUGGAAUGCUUUUUGGUUCAAAGGCUUCGGCUGCCUAAGGAUGGAUCUGCGGCCUAUCAGGUAGUAGUGGGUGUAAUGUACCUACUAGCCUACGACGGGUACGGGUUGUGAGAGCAAGAGCCCGGAGAUGGAUUCUGAGACAUGAAUCCAGGCCCUACGGGGCGCAGCAGGCGCGAAAACUUUACAAUGCGGGAAACCGCGAUAAGGGGACACUGAGUGCCAGCAUAUUAUGUUGGCUGUCCACAUGUAUAAAAACCAUGUGUUAGCGAGGGCCGGGCAAGACCGGUGCCAGCCGCCGCGGUAACACCGGCGGCCCGAGUGGUGAUCACUUUUAUUGGGUCUAAAGGGUCCGUAGCCGGUUUGAUCAGUCUUCUGGGAAAUCUGACAGCUCAACUGUUAGGCUUUCAGGGGAUACUGUUAGACUUGGGACCGGGAGAGGUAAGAGGUACUACAGGGGUAGGAGUGAAAUCUUGUAAUCCCUGUGGGACCACCAGUGGCGAAGGCGUCUUACCAGAACGGGUCCGACGGUGAGGGACGAAAGCUGGGGGCACGAACCGGGUUAGAUACCCGGGUAGUCCCAGCCGUAAACGAUGUUCGCUAGGUGUCAGGGGCGGUGCGACCGUUUCUGGUGCCGUAGGGAAGCCGUGAAGCGAACCACCUGGGAAGUACGGCCGCAAGGCUGAAACUUAAAGGAAUUGGCGGGGG